UUGUACAAGGCCCGGGAACGUAUUCACCGUAGCAUUCUGAUCUACGAUUACUAGCGAUUCCGACUUCACGGAGUCGAGUUGCAGACUCCGAUCCGGACUACGACGCACUUUAUGAGGUCCGCUUGCUCUCGCGAGGUNGCUUCUCUUUGUAUGCGCCAUUGUAGCACGUGUGUAGCCCUGGCCGUAAGGGCCAUGAUGACUUGACGUCAUCCCCACCUUCCUCCGGUUUAUCACCGGCAGUCUCCUUNGAGUUCCCGGCAUUACCCGCUGGCAACAAAGGAUAAGGGUUGCGCUCGUUGCGGGACUUAACCCAACAUUUCACAACACGAGCUGACGACAGCCAUGCAGCACCUGUCUCAGAGUUCCCGAAGGCACCAAAGCAUCUCUGCUAAGUUCUCUGNAGGNAGNCAAA
rnacentral:rRNA from 1 species